rfam:Phytophthora nicotianae strain race 0 contig4017, whole genome shotgun sequence.
GACAACGAAGCUCAUUGGUAGAGCGCAGAGUCUUCUCUGAGGUUGCUGGUUCGAUUCCAGCCGUUGUCU